CUGGGAUUACAAGUGUGUACCACCAAACCCAGGUCACCACUCUCCUGCGUGAGGUGUUUAACAUUUCAGCUGUGCUUUCUGCGUGAAGACAAUUGGCUUGGGCUUUGGCGUAAAGGAUCUAAGUUUCAUUGUUUCCCUGAAAGCACGUGGAGCAGAGUGAAAUGGGGUUUCAUCAUGUGGGCCAGGCUAGUCGCAGACUUCUGGCCUCAAGUGAU
rnacentral:lncRNA from 1 species